rnacentral:rRNA from 1 species
AUGGUAAAACAUCCGUUGGAGAAGGGGGAUGCUUUGCGUGAGAAUACAAGGUCACGCCGAUGUGAGUGUCCUGCGAUAAUAAGGCUGCUACGGACAUUAGAUAAUGGGGGGUACAUAACGGAGCACCGGGUAGAGCAUAACAAUGUUAUGACGCCGGGAGAGAUGUUGCACUGGCCAUCGCACAAACACAUUGAUGUGUACAUGGGGGGCUUGGUGCGGGACUGA